rnacentral:tRNA from 1 species
GCCGAGAUGGCGGAACCGGUAGACGCAGUAGACUCAAAAUCUACCGAGCCUGGCUCGUGCGGGUUCGAGUCCCGCUCUCGGCACCA